CAAGUCGAUGCCGAAGAACUCACUGCUUUUAUCUUAAAUGGUUUAGAUGAUGAUUAUGAUUCUGUUGUAUCGGCUUUAGCGGCCAAAACUGAACCUAUUACUCUAUCAGAAACAUAUGCCCAGCUAUUGAACUUUGAGA
rfam:Oryza rufipogon genomic scaffold, chr02